AGAUCACGAAAAAGACUUGAACAUUCCAAAGAAUACCACUUUUUUACAUUUCAAUAUCUCCUACCUUUACUUUCUCUUUUGUUUGACUUUGUUGGAGGAACGAGCGUAGAUUCUUGAUCGAAGACAACUCAGUUCACUGCCCCUCAAACGGUAAUCUCAACUUUAUUUUCCUUUUUUAGUUUAUCUAUCAUCUGAGUGUGUAAAUUUGUUUGAAAUCAUAUUUUGGAGAUUAUUGAAGUGUAUGAGUUAUGUCAUGAAGAUUAUGUUUUCAUUAUGCUUUCCUCUGAACUCUUAUAUGCCAUGUUUAUUUUUCUGCAUUUUCAUAAAAUUCCAAACUUGUAAACUAGAAGUCCUAUUUUAAAUAGUUUGGUAUUAACUCUUCGGGUCAAUUAUUUGACAACAUGUGAAUUUAUUCAAAAUCAUAUCAUGUCUUACAUCACUUUAAAUGAUUAAAAUCAGAUUUUGAAAGUUAAAAAUAUACUCUGUCUAUAAAUGUUUAGUAGAGUAAUUUAGAAUAUGAUUAUUGUUGUCUUUUGUCUUAAUUAACAUUGUGAAAGCAAGAAGCAACAUCUGUUAUGCAUUUACAUUAGAAUAAAAAUAUGAUUACACUAACACUAAUAUGCAAAUUUGUACGUUUUGGAUAUUUCAUGAAAUGAUACUAUUUUAAAAUUUUCGCUAAACUUGUAUUGAUAUAUCUUAUUGUUUUAAGUUCAGUACACCGCCUUUUUAAAUAUGUUUGAUAGUGACAAUUUCUCUAAAUUUGAAUUUUUCGUUUGUUUUUUAUUUGCCAUCUUAUGAGUUAUAUUCUAAUGUAUUUAUUUUGCAUCUUCAUAUUAAAAUCUGCUUUCUUUUACUAAUUGUCAUCUCCUUUCCUUUGUUUGGCAUGUACACCGGAGUCGAAGAGUCUUACUUUACGACUCGACAUCACUACAAGACUCAAAAGUUGCAUAUACAUUUUCAUUUGUGUUUCUCACUUCCUAGAAACUCCAUCAAGAAGAAAAACAAGAGAAAGUGACAAGCGCUCGACUUUACUCUUCUUUAGUUGCUUAUUCCUAAUUUUCUUUAUGUUAUUUGCUAUGAAUACUGGUGUGUUUGUUUUUGAUAACUUUGUUUGACAUACUUAGAAGUUAAACUGAUCUUUGAUAAAAAAUAAUUUAGAAAGCAUUUAGCUACUAAUGUGGUCAAGCUUAUAGUUGAAUAUAUUUCCUAAGUUAGUUUUGAGUCAAUCUUGGAGCAUUAAAUUUUUAAAACAAAAAAAAAGGUUUGUAAAUGGUAUGUCCAGAAGUUGUUUUUAACUCAACUUAGCAUACUAGAUCACUUUGAUGAUUUAUUUAUUUUUCUUAAAAAAUAAAUAUCUAUUCAACAACAACAAAUUGUUUUUAAAUAAAUAAAACUACUACUUUACGCUUUUUUAAACACUACUUUAUCUUUUUAUUUUAAAUUAGUCAAUUAUUUUACGCUUUAGCACUAAUUUUCACUUAGCCUAAUUAAUUAUUUAAGUUUGGCCGAUUAACCAUUUUAAAUGGAUCUUAAAGAAUGUCUAACCCCUUCCCUUUAGGUUAGUUGAACCCUUACCUAGAAUCUUAUGUUUAGUAGACCUUAAAAUGAAGUUAACUUUAGACAAUAGACUUUAAUCAUUUUAGGUAUCCUAAUUCACCGUAAUAAUUAGGUGGCGACUUCUUGACUUAGUUAAUAAUUUAGAAAUCACUAAAAUGUUGUACACUGUUUGGACCUCGAGUUAAAAUGGGGUAUAACAAAGGUGAAGCUGUUUUUUGUUCCAAGGCUUCUCUUCUUUUCCUUACAAAUUGCAAUAAUUCUUUCCUAAUAACAUUUGUAGCUCUUAUUGCCUUGUAAAAUGUUGUACCAG
rnacentral:lncRNA from 1 species